rnacentral:rRNA from 1 species
UUCCUACGGGGCGCAGCAGUGGGGAAUAUUGGGCAAUGGGCGCAAGCCUGACCCAGCAACGCCGCGUGAAGGAAGAAGGCUUUCGGGUUGUAAACUUCUUUUAAGAGGGAAGAGUAGAAGACGGUACCUCUUGAAUAAGCCACGGCUAACUACGUGCCAGCAGCCGCAGUAAUACGUAGGUGGCAAGCGUUGACCGGAUUUAAUGGGUGUAAAGGGAGCGUAGCCGGGCCGGCAAGUCAGAUGUGAAAUCCAAAGGCUCAACCUUGGAACUGCAUUUGAAACUGUUG